GAGUUUGAUCCUGGCUCAGGAUGAACGCUAGCGGCAGGCCUAAUACAUGCAAGUCGAGGGGUAACAGGAAGUGCUUGCACUUCGCUGACGACCGGCGCACGGGUGAGUACCGCGUAUACAAUCUGCCUCAUACUAGGGGAUAGCCCGAAGAAAUUUGGAUUAAUACCCUAUAGUAUCCUUUUAAGGCAUCUUAAAAAGAUUAAAGGUUACGGUAUGAGAUGAGUAUGCGUUCUAUUAGCUAGUAGGUGUGGUAACGGCACACCUAGGCUACGAUAGAUAGGGGCCCUGAGAGGGGGAUCCCCCACACCGGUACUGAGACACGGACCAGACUCCUACGGGAGGCAGCAGUAAGGAAUAUUGGACAAUGGGCGAAAGCCUGAUCCAGCCAUGCCGCGUGCAGGACGACGGCCCUAUGGGUUGUAAACUGCUUUUAUAUAGGAAGAAAAACUUUCUCGUGAGAAAGCUUGACGGUACUAUGAGAAUAGGAUCGGCUAACUCCGUGCCAGCAGCCGCGGUAAUACGGAGGAUCCAAGCGUUAUCCGGAAUCAUUGGGUUUAAAGGGUCCGUAGGUGGACAAAUAAGUCAGAGGUGAAAUCCUGCAGCUCAACUGUAGAACUGCCUUUGAUACUGCUUGUCUUGAGUUAUUAUGAAGUGGUUAGAAUGUGUAGUGUAGCGGUGAAAUGCAUAGAUAUUACACAGAAUACCGAUUGCGAAGGCAGAUCACUAAUAAUUAACUGACACUGAGGGACGAAAGCGUGGGUAGCGAACAGGAUUAGAUACCCUGGUAGUCCACGCCGUAAACGAUGGUCACUAGCUGUUUGGACUUCGGUCUGAGUGGCUAAGCGAAAGUGAUAAGUGACCCACCUGGGGAGUACGUUCGCAAGAAUGAAACUCAAAGGAAUUGACGGGGGCCCGCACAAGCGGUGGAGCAUGUGGUUUAAUUCGAUGAUACGCGAGGAACCUUACCAGGGCUUAAAUGUUAGGUGACAGAUCUAGAAAUAGAUUUUUCUUCGGACACUUAACAAGGUGCUGCAUGGUUGUCGUCAGCUCGUGCCGUGAGGUGUCAGGUUAAGUCCUAUAACGAGCGCAACCCCUGUUGUUAGUUGCCAGCGAGUAAUGUCGGGAACUCUAGCAAGACUGCCAGUGCAAACUGUGAGGAAGGUGGGGAUGACGUCAAAUCAUCACGGCCCUUACGUCCUGGGCUACACGCGUGCUACAAUGGUAGGUACAGAGAGCAGCCAAUGCGCGAGCAUGAGCAAAUCCAUAAAACCUAUCUCAGUUCGGAUCGGAGUCUGCAACUCGACUCCGUGAAGCUGGAAUCGCUAGUAAUCGGAUAUCAGCCAUGAUCCGGUGAAUACGUUCCCGGGCCUUGUACUCACCGCCCGUC
rnacentral:rRNA from 1 species